rnacentral:rRNA from 1 species
AGUGAACGCUGGCGGUAGGCCUAACACAUGCAAGUCGAACGGCAGCACAGUAAGAGCUUGCUCUUACGGGUGGCGAGUGGCGGACGGGUGAGGAAUACAUCGGAAUCUACUUUUUCGUGGGGGAUAACGUAGGGAAACUUACGCUAAUACCGCAUACGACCUACGGGUGAAAGCAGGGGAUCUUCGGACCUUGCGCGAUUGAAUGAGCCGAUGUCGGAUUAGCUAGUUGGCGGGGUAAAGGCCCACCAAGGCGACGAUCCGUAGCUGGUCUGAGAGGAUGAGCAGCCACACUGGAACUGAGACACGGUCCAGGCUCCUACGGGAGGCAGCAGUGGGGAAUAUUGGACAAUGGGCGCAAGCCUGAUCCAGCCAUACCGCGUGGGUGAAGAAGGCCUUCGGGUUGUAAAGCCCUUUUGUUGGGAAAGAAAAGCAGCAGGUUAAUACCCCGCUGUUCUGACGGUACCCAAAGAAUGAGCACCGGCUAACUUCGUG